rnacentral:rRNA from 1 species
UACAGGGGGUGCAAGCGUUGCUCGGAAUCACUGGGCGUAAAGCGAACGCAGGCGGACCAUCAAGUCAGGGGUGAAAUCCUGGAGCUCAACUCCAGAACUGCCUUUGAUACUGAAGAUCUUGAGUUCGGGAGAGGUGAGUGGAACUGCGAGUGUAGAGGUGAAAUUCGUAGAUAUUCGCAAGAACACCAGUGGCGAAGGCGGCUCACUGGCCCGAUACUGACGCUGAGGCACGAAAGCGUGGGGAGCAAACAGG